rnacentral:lncRNA from 1 species
GUAGUUUCUUAUACGUAAAAAUAUUUAAAAUACUACUAUAAAACUGCUCCUCUCCACGUGAGGCACCUUGAGAAGUGAGAAACUCGAGAUGUUCGUCAAUCCCCAAGGGGGUUAUGACACCCAAAGCAACAGGUAUCCACACUCUUCAACUCGUGGGUAUCGACACCUGACCUACGGUAGGGUGUCGACACCUUGGUCCCUGAGUGUUGAGACCUUACUCUCAGAAUUCCAAAUCCCAUAUUUAGUAAGUCUAUUUCGAUAAGUAUUAUUUUCGUAAUUAACUUCUUCUAACUCGAAUUAUACAAAUGUCAACUUUGAAACGAGAAAUCGGAUAAAUAUCAGAGAUUUCAACUACAGUAUAAAGUAUUGUGCUACGUUAUUGCGUUUGAUACUCUGUAAUACUGAUAUCUUACUUAUUAAUGUACAUCAUAAAAUAAUAUCGAGUAUGUGCAUGCUCACACAACGUGUUUACUAUACUGUCAUUUAUAUUGGACAUGUUAAUGGUGAGUGAAUUACAUUUAUGGGUGUACCAUAUUGCUUGGUGUCCAUCUAGAUAUACCUAAUUGAGGCUGCUUGUUCAUUUGGGGGCAGCUAAGGACAUUUAGGUUUUGUUUGUCUUCCUUUCUACCACAUUUUAUCACAUUAUUUUUUUCUAUUGUACUUAUUUUCAACCAUAUACGUUUCAUUAAAAUAAUAUUACACGUAAAUAAUAAACAUUUCUUUCUUUUUUAAUCAUAUAUUUUAACAUUAAUCACUAUUUCAUAACACAUUACUCACAAAUGAUGGGGCACAAACAAGCAUUUACUAGGGUUCAACUCGUGUCUGCUUGCGGUGUAUGAAGGCCUCAUGAAGGUUUUCUAGGUUUGAGACCUAGUACGACGAGCACUGUAUACAUAGGUUAGUCCUAAUAUAUGACUUAAAUGUCGGUGGAUUUUCUCGACUGUGAUGAUAUGACAGAUACACAGUGAGAUCUUGAGUAGAUUAUGUGAAGGAACCAAGAAACUAAUGGUAGCAAAUUUGUUAUUAACUAUAUUUAUAAAUGAGCUCACACGGCACAACAUAACAAAAAUUUUGGUUCUAUGCAUGAUCGAAAGAUCAUGUCAUGCAUCAUCAUAGUUACUGAAAAACGCUUUGAAUUGUAGUGAUGUACAAGGUUGAGGGAUGCCAUUGUAAACACUCAAAGAAACUGACUCAUAUAUGUUGAACCAUUUAUUUCUUGAGGAUAAUUAAACUAUUUUGGUUAUGCAAAUCAUUUUUAUUUUUAUUAUUUAUUUAUUUAUUAUUAUUAUUAUUAAUUUUUUUUUUUUACGAGUAGAGACAUUACAUAACAACUGUAAAUCUGAAUUGUAACUUAAUACUUAUGCUGUUUAUGUGCACACACUGAAUUGAAUCAACAAUGAAAUAUAUUUUCAGUUCCAUCUUACUGUUUCUUUUCAGAAAACAUCUUCAACUUUCCUAGUUUAUCAAAAUGUCUAGAUAUUUCAAAAUUCGUACAAUAUUAAGAAAGUUAAUUUCGUAACAAUUUUGAAAAGCGAAGGGCAUCUUUGGAAGAUUUGACAAAAAAUCUUAAGAAGUAAAAGGUAAUUAUAUUCAAAAUACAGUUUUUACUUUUUACAUCAUAUUUUAAUGACUCAUGGUCUUCCGGGUUUGCUCUAGUACUUGUAUAAUUAGCUUUUUUGUUGAAUUUUUAUUGGCAACCUUACAUUAAUUAGCACAUUUGAGCUCUAGUAACGAUUUUCAUCGAAAAGGUUAAUUGGAAAGCGUAAAAAGACUUUACUUGUUCAUCAUAUUUAAAAAAUAAAUAAAUAUAGAAGUGUGAUAAAAUAUUUUUCCUAAAUUGCAAAGCAUGGAAAAGAUUAUUUUGAUAGAAACAUCAUCAACAAUGAGAUAUGAUAAUCAUUGAAAGUUUAAAGAUUAAAAUUGGGAGUCACUAUUUACAUUCACAGUUAUUAUAUAGUUCACUAUUCUAAAAAGCUUGCUUAGAUGAAAUGUAGGCACUGCCUAAGCUUGAAGCUCGGGCACAAUACUUUGCUUCGUGCCUAGCAGCUUUUUUUUAUUAAUUCCAAUUCCUAAAUGACUGGAUUUUUUCCUACUCCUCCGUCCUCCUUAGCGCGCUUCACUAAUCUUUUAUCAAUUUUUAUUACUAUUAAAAGAAAAACCUUUUAUUUGACUUUAUGUUCAAGUUUUUAAAAGACUAUAUCAAUACAAAAGUCAAAAAUGAUUUUAUCCAAUGGAGAGUUAAACAAGAUUUAAGCAACGGUUCUAUUUAUAUCAUGUAAUUAUGAUUUUGAAACUCAUUAUUUUCUUGAAAUCUUCAGAAGUAUGUAUGAAGUUUUUAUAAAUUUAUUAAGUAGGAUUUGUCUAGUUGAAAAUUGAAACAAAUAGUCUAAAUUUUGUCUUCCAAAAAUUAGAGAAAUUGUAUAAUUGUAUGAAUUAUUAGCCUCUAUGGCCCCCAUCAUUUGAAAUUUUAACGGUUGGAAUAGUGUGUUUUGAAGAAUGUGUAAUUAGAAAAGAAGAAAAAGUUUUGAUAUUACAUGUAAUAUUAUUUUAUUGAAGAAUAUGUGAUUGAUAAGAAGCGAGAGAGAAAAAUAAAUUAUAAUUUUAAUAGGGAUCAAAUGGGAGCUAAGUAAAUAAUUAUAAUUUUAAAUGUUUGCUAUGUAUUAUUUAAACUAUUAAGUGAUUUUUAGAAUGUUUAAAAAUUUAAAAUAAUAUAAAAAAACAUUUUUUUUUCGCCUGGACCUUUCCUAAACUCACUUUAGCUCGUAAAACUUGAACUUCGCUUCUACAGAUGUCACUCUUUAUGUUUUUUAGAAUAUUGUUAUAUUUAUCCCACUCCGUAUCUAUCUCUAUUAAAACUCGUGUUCUAAAAAGCUCACUUAGGUGAUGCCAAGGUGUCAAAGAUCGCAACUUCACUUAGCCCCUUGACAUAAUCGCAGUCGCAGUUUGUCCAACUUCGAUCGCACAUUGUAAAUAUUUGUUCAAGUUUGAGUUGUAAUUUUCUUUUCAUUGUAAUAGUUAUUUCAGUUGUAAAAUAGCUCUGAUAUUUGUAAACGUUUAGUAUGAUUCAUUGUCUUUUAAACGUCUACUCCUGUCACUUAUAUUUUUGUUCAGAAUGCUAUUAUAGGGGGUAUUAGUCAUUCAAAAAUCUUUCAAACUCACUGGUGUCCGCCCCCUGCACCAGCAACUGUAAUUUUUUAUUUUCAUCAAUUGUAAUGUUCAACUUUCAUCAAUCAAUAUUCAAUUUACUUUCACUG